rnacentral:rRNA from 1 species
GAUGAACGCUAGCGGCAGGCUUAAUACAUGCAAGUCGAGGGGCAGCAUGUCCCGCAGCAAUGCGGGAUGAUGGCGACCGGCAAACGGGUGCGGAACACGUACACAACCUUCCUUUAAGCGGGGAAUAGCCCGGGGAAACCCGGAUUAAUACCCCAUAGUAUAUUGAAAAGGCAUCUUUUUAAUAUUAAAGAUUUAUCACUUGAAGAUGGGUGUGCGGCUGAUUAGGUAGUUGGCGGGGUAACGGCCCACCAAGCCUGCGAUCAGUAACUGGUGUGAGAGCACGACCAGUCAAACGGGAACUGAGACACGGGCCCGACUCCUACAGGAGGCAGCAGUAAGGAAUAUUGGUCUAUGGACGAAAGUCUGAACCAGCCAUGCCGCGGGGAGGAUGAAGGUCCUCUGGAUUGUAAACUGCUUUUGCCAGGGGAUAAAACGGCUCUGCGGAGCUAAUUGAAGGUACCUGGUGAAUAAGCCACGGCUAACUACGUGCCAGCCGCCGCCGUAAGAC